GUGCUACUUUCUUUUCUUCUUGUGGUUUGUUUGACUUGUCUUGGAGGCACAUAUGGCGAAAUCAUAAAUGACAAGGGGAGCAACAUGAUGACGAAAGUAAGCCAUGUAACGAGACCCCCUUGUUAUAAAGAUGGGCACCAGCUCCCAGGACGGGAAUUCUGUUGUAAAAUAGAUAACUUGUGCUGGCCAAAUCUCGGAGAAUGCUUCAUCAACUGUCCCUGCAAGAUUAAUUGCACACCAGCAGUAGCAACACAAUAGUUUCGUUAUCACCCCUAUUUUGGGUGGAUAAAUCCCAACCUUAUGGUUCUCAAAAUAAUUAUGUGCGGAUGAGAUCAUAAAUUUUGUAUGUUUUAUAAAUCAACUAUGUUAUUUUAAUAUUCAAUAAAACUAGCCAAUGGGUUGUUUGUACAA